GACGAACGCUGGCGGCGUGCUUAACACAUGCAAGUCGAGCGGUAAGGCUCCUUCGGGAGUACACGAGCGGCGAACGGGUGAGUAACACGUGAGCAAUCUGCCCUUCACUUUGGGAUAACCACCGGAAACGGUGGCUAGUACCGAAUACGACCACUUCAGGCAUCUGAUGGUGGUGGAAAGUUCCGGCGGUGAAGGAUGAGCUCGCGGCCUAUCAGCUUGUUGGUGAGGUAAUGGCUCACCAAGGCUUCGACGGGUAGCCGGCCUGAGGGGGUGACCGGUCACACUGGGACUGAGACACGGCCCAGACUCCUACGGGAGGCAGCAGUGGGGAAUAUUGGACAAUGGGCGAAAGCCUGAUCCAGCAACGCCGCGUGAGGGAUGACGGCCUUCGGGUUGUAAACCUCUUUCAGCGGGGACGAAGCGAAAGUGACGGUACCCGCAGAAGAAGGACCGGCCAACUACGUGCCAGCCGCCGCGGUAAUAC
rnacentral:rRNA from 1 species